GCAGCCGUGCGUUGAGAGGACUUUCAUCUGAACUCAACCAGAACUCUGAGUUAUCAUCAGAAGAAACUGCAAACUGAAAAUCACCUGGACAAAUGAGAGCGACAGACAGUGUGAGCGACAGAUGAGUCCCGACACAAGUCAGUGUUGGAAAAAGAGUUUGUUCAGUGGGUACCACGACUGGCCCUUGUGAAGAUCAGUCGAAUUCCUCCGCAGACUCGGUAAAGCAUAUCAGGGAUACCUUGUCAGGCUUGGAUCCUCAAAUUGGCACGUCAUCUCCGAACGUUCACUUUCACGGACAAUCAGCUGCAAAGCUCGAUAGUACUGUACACUUCAGCAACAGUACAAUUGCUGAUCUGGUAUCAGUCAGGGGCGUACGGUGGUGAGGAGAGUGACAGGCCAGCGGGAAGGAGAAGACAGGGGACAGCAGGGGUGACGGAGCUGCCAUGCACACUCAUAUGAGACAGGUCUGAUCCAGCACAGGCUGUCACAUCACAGCUGUCACUAAUAAUCAGAGAGCGUUCGCAACCAGAUGAGCUUCUGCUGUAGGUACAGCUGAUAAAAGCCCGAGAAAAAUGCUAAUGUUCUUUUCAAAGGUUGUACAUCUGCUUGAGUCUGGAUCUAAAUGAGAAUGCGCUGUUUUGUUGU